rnacentral:rRNA from 1 species
AGUGAACGCUGGCGGUAGGCCUAACACAUGCAGGUCGAACGGCAGCACAGUAAGAGCUUGCUCUUACGGGUGGCGAGUGGCGGACGGGUGAGGAAUACAUCGGAAUCUACUUUUUCGUGGGGGAUAACGUAGGGAAACUUACGCUAAUACCGCAUACGACCUACGGGUGAAAGCAGGGGAUCUUCGGACCUUGCGCGAUUGAAUGAGCCGAUGUCGGAUUAGCUAGUUGGCGGGGUAACGGCCCACCAAGGCGACGAUCCGUAGCUGGUCUGAGAGGAUGAUCAGCCACACUGGAACUGAGACACGGUCCAGACUCCUACGGGAGGCAGCAGUGGGGAAUAUUGGACAAUGGGCGCAAGCCUGAUCCAGCCAUACCGCGUGAGUGAAGAAGGCCUUCGGGUCGUAAAGCCCUGUUGUUGGGAAAGAAAAGCAGCAUGUUAAUCCCUCGCUGUUUUGACGGUACCCAAAGAAUAAGCACCGGCUAACUUCGUG